CUGGUCAGUACUUCCGUCACGCCGAUGCCGCCCGGCACCGGCGACAGAUACGACACCAGCAGGCUGUUGCUGAAUGCGGUAAGCGCCUUGCCUGCUGAAACGGGGAUGCCGGCGACUGCGCACAGAUAAGC
rnacentral:misc_RNA from 1 species